rnacentral:tRNA from 1 species
UGUGGAGGUGACCCUCACGGACUUCAAGACCAAGGAGGUCGUGGAGGUGAU